CCAGUCUAUCCAGAUUGGUGAGCUAUUGUCUUUAUGCUUUGCCUCACAGAAUUUGCAGAUAAUUGUGGUGCUCACCCCACAUCAGAAGCUUCGAUAGGCAGCAGAUGGAGACUGUCACAGAGAUCCACAACUUGGCAACAUACAGAGAAUAAGUGACUCUGGGAUGCCCAACUACAACUGAUACAUCUGCAGUACAACCCUUAGACCUAAGCCUCAGUGAAAAUCAUGGAAAGGGGGAUAGAAAGAUGGUGAAGAAGCUAAAGAUUACAAAGGUACUGGGUUCCUUCGACUGGGCAGAUCUGCCAACAGCAGGAAGAAGCAACAGCCUUGGUAUAUAGAUGCAUAAGAUCAAGGUCUGUGUGAACCAUUAGCCCCAGGUGGAAGACUGUUUUGAUAAGG